ensembl:lncRNA
AAUUUUUAUGGCUCACAUGAAAUCACAUCAGUGUUAUCAUUUGCGUUGCAGUGACUGGAUCGGCCACUUCCUCUUCGCGUCUAUCAUUAAACCGCCCAGAGGAUCCAGAUGCUGCUGGCAAGAUAGUGGCACUGUCACCAAGAGGAGCAGGAGGACGGAGAGGACGCACCCACCCGGACAGAGAUGGCUUCGCGUUCCGUUUAGCCUCUCUGCUUUCUGGCAGAGAAGGACUGUGGUGGAGUGCAACGGUAAAUCUGCCCGUCUGGCUCCCUGCUGGUAAUCCUCAUGGCCGAGUGCGUCUGUUCUCACCCAGACAUCCCACUAUGCUUCCUGUUUCACCUCAAACACAGGACAGAAUGAUUAUGGUGGAAAAUGCCAUCACUGUGCAUUCACUUAGUCAUCCUGCACUGAGAGAACAAACCCUCAGGAGGCUCGAUGAGUGUGGAGGCCUGCAGGCGCUGAUCGACCAGUGGGGGGACAGCAGUCUGGAGGAACUGGAAGCUUUCAUAGACUCGUACUUUGAGAUGGUGUGGGAGCAGACCAUGGGGUCAUGUCAGACACCCGAAUCCAGCGGUGUCACCACGGAGCAGGACGCCGUUGCUGAGGCGGCUCGAGAAGAGGAAGUGCUCUCAUCCAUUGACAGAAAACUCUCAAAGCUGGAGCUCCUUGAGGAGAUCAGGAAGGAUCUGGCAAAGCUGAGGGAGAGUCUGGAGCACAGCUGGAAAGCCAUACAGGAACUUAGGGACAGAGGUGGAGAAAAGAAAGCUUAGGCAGUGAGAUGGGCAGAGGCUGGGAGCAGGAGGAAGAGAAGCAUGAUUUAGACCUGGUGUACAGGAAUCAUCCAUCCUCCACUCCCCUUCAUGCUCUGAUACGAUGAUGUCUCCUGGGUGCAAUGUCUGAGACACGGUACAGUGUUGACCACUGUACCUCAGCAGGAGGGCUGAACCUUUCUACCCUUCCCACCUUAUACAGGAAGUCUGUAUCAGGACCUCACAAAUGAUACAGAUUUCACGAGUAUUCAAAGCUAAAACUGAGAGUAAAGUAAAGGAUCAGGUGAUGACUUCACUGAUUUACUGUAGAAUAGCCCUCUAAUAACACAGUCAGACUCACAAUGGACAAUAAAAAAAAAAAUCCAUUACAUCACUCGAGGCAAUUUAUCAGAUCUCACACGGGUCCCUGUGGAGCCACAAAGGGCUUUAUACAAGUUUUAUUACACAGAGUAAAUAGCGAUACUCCUCAAGACCUGUAAACACUUUGAUAUGUAACAUCGGCGGAGCUUGAAUCACUGCACUUUUGAGUGUGUAUAAAUUUGGAACAGAUACACUUUACACGUGUCAAGAUUACAUUUUGUAUGAUGCAGUUCAACUGAAGCAUGCUAAACCUUUUAUAGGAGCCAAGUCCAAGUCUUUCUGUUUGGGACUGGCAUUUCAAAAUGUGCAAAUCUCAAAUCUACAGCUGCACUUUUUAAUCACCACAAACUAAAAAUGACCACAUGUGUCUAAAGUGACAUAAAAGUAAAAUAGCUUUUUAUUUCUUUCUCCACAUGUAACUCAGCCAAAACUUUGGGUCAACAGAUUACUUGUACAACCAAAAAGUCCACAUGUUGCUGUUUUAUAUAUCAUCCACAGUUUUAGGGUUUUAUCAGGUCAGAAGAAACUUGACAUUUGAUUUAAAGUCUCCGGUCGAGUCUUUGGGAUCCGAG